GAGUUUGAUCAUGGCUCAGAACGAACGCUGGCGGCAGGCUUAACACAUGCAAGUCGAACGCCCCGCAAGGGGAGUGGCAGACGGGUGAGUAACACGUGGGAACGUGCCCUAAGGUUCGGAAUAUUCCCGGGAAACUGGGAGCAAUACCGAAUGUGACCGCAAGGUGAAAGAUUUAUCGCCUUAGGAUCGGCCCGCGUCGGAUUAGCUAGUUGGUGGGGUAAAAGCCUACCAAGGCGACGAUCCGUAGCUGGUCUGAGAGGACGACCAGCCACACUGGGACUGAGACACGGCCCAGACUCCUACGGGAGGCAGCAGUGGGGAAUCUUGGACAAUGGGCGCAAGCCUGAUCCAGCCAUGCCGCGUGGAUGAUGAAGGCCUUAGGGUUGUAAAAUCCUUUCGUCAGGGACGAUGAUGACGGUACCUGAAGAAGAAGCCCCGGCUAACUUCGUGCCAGCCGCCGCGGU
rnacentral:rRNA from 1 species